rnacentral:rRNA from 1 species
GGCGUAAAGGGCUCGUAGGUGGUUGAUCGCGUCGGAAGUGUAAUCUUGGGGCUUAACCCUGAGCGUGCUUUCGAUACGGGUUGACUUGAGGAAGGUAGGGGAGAAUGGAAUUCCUGGUGGAGCGGUUGAAUGCGCAGAUAUCAGGAGGAACACCAGUGGCGAAGGCGGUUCUCUGGGCCUUUCCUGACGCUGAGGAGCGAAAGCGUGGGGAGCGAACAGGCUUAGAUACCCUGGUAGUCCACGCUGUAAACGGUGGGUACUAGGUGUGGGGUCCAUUCCACGGGUUCCGUGCCGUAGCUAACGCUUUAAGUACCCCGCCUGGGGAGUACGGCCGCAAGGCUAAAACUCAAAGGAAUUGACGGGGCCCCGCACAAGCGGCGGAGCAUGCGGAUUAAUUCGAUGCAACGCGUAGAACCUUACCUGGGUUUGACAUGGAUCGGGAGCGCUCAGAGAUGGGUGUGCCUCUUUUGGGGUCGGUUCACAGGUGGUGCAUGGCUGUCGUCAGCUCGUGUCGUGAGAUGUUGGGUUAAGUCCCGCAACGAGCGCAACCCUUGUUUACUGUUGCCAGCACGUUAUGGUGGGGACUCAGUGGAGACCGCCGGGGUCAACUCGGAGGAAGGU